AUAAAAGUGGACGGCCAUGGGAAGUACACCUUCCCUGAGGUCUUCUUGGAACGUGAAGAUCCAGUGGGACUUGCUGUAUUUGAGAAUUUUUCUUCUGGGCAAAUAAUCUAGUCCAUACUUCACCCCACACCCCAAAGGAGAGAGUGGUGCUACUGACUGCCUCCAUAGCUGCUUUCUCAAUCCUCCACAAAUCCCAGCAUCCAAAGAGUAGAUACUAGGUGUGUGUUCCAGGUUCAUGUAGCCACUUACAUCUUCUGUCACCUGUCCAUCCCAAGGGUUAUAAAUGUGCAGGUCCAGAAGAAAUGUUUCUUUUACCUUCUGGUUCAUGUACUGAAUUAAAACUUGUGUUUUAUUCAGAAAAAUGUCUCUACUUGUUAAAAGUCAGUUUUAUGGGAACCUCUAUAGAGAGAACUUUAGUUCAGGAGCAUCCUUGGAAUAUCUAUUUAUUGGAUGUUGGCUGGAAAAGAAACCUCAUCUACUGGGCUAAUACCCAGGGACACCGGUUCCGCUCAACUGUCUUCUGAAAGGAAAAGCAAGAGAUUUGGAAGGAGCCCCCAGUCUGUUCAGCAAACGAGGACAUAGCAACUGGGAACUUGUACUGGCUUCCCUGUGACAGAGGCACCAUUUGGAAGACUAGAAUGUCUGACCAUGACACACGUACCCUCCACAGAAUGGGCAGCAUUAUACUGCACCUUCUUCUUGAUUGGCCCAAGAGGGUGCUCUACUGGGUAGAAAGUGGGAAACACCUGCAAAGUAUGAUUUUUUAUGGCAAAAGGAUACAGGAAAUCUGGAGCCUCACCUGGGCAACAGACACCCACAUGGCCUUAGACCUUGGUUCAUCUAGCAUCCUCUGGGUGACCAAAGGGUUAGGAGUGCAAAGUCUAAGUCCCUUCAAAAAUAGAACUUACACCUUGAACAAGAACUGGAGUGAUGGGCUGCUGGCUGCACAUGCAACCUACCUGGUGACAACGAACAGAGCAGCCCUCAUACUGUG